rnacentral:rRNA from 1 species
GUGCCAGCCGCCGCGGUAAUACGUAGGUGGCAGGCGUUGUCCGGAUUUACUGGGCGUAAAGAGCGCGCAGGCGGUCGUUCAAGUCGCGUGUGAAAGCCCCCGGCUCAACUGGGGAGGGUCACGCGAUACUGAUCGACUCGAAGGCAGGAGAGGGUAGUGGAAUUCCCGGUGUAGUGGUGGAAUGCGUAGAUAUCGGGAGGAUCACCGGUGGCGAAGGCGGGUCUCUGGGCCGUAACUGACGCUGAGGCGCGAAAGCUAGGGGAGCGAACAGGAUUAGAAACCCUGGUAGUCA